GGGGCCGCCAUGUUUCCGUCGAGGUCGCGCCGUUAGGCUCGCAGUGCGGUCGCUUUUGCUGCCCCUGGGGCUUCCUGGACUCUGGGACUCUGCUGAGCACUGGGGUCCCCAGGCAGUAGCCCUCGCUUUGCAUAGGCCCACACCUCCGUGGCUGGCAGCGGCCCCUCUGCUGUAGCUGCCUGGACAUCUGCAUGACGCCCGCCAGCCUAGCUGCCGCUGGAUUUUGGUUGCUGACUUUGCAAGGUUGAGAAGGAAUGUAAACACGCAAGCGGAAUUGAGGCGCUUGCCCCCCAUCGAAGGAAGUUCAGGAGUAGCAGAGAAUUGGAAUUCGACACACACAAGCCAUGGCAAAACCACAGGCAAGUCUAGAAAACAAAGGGGAGAACCACUGUUUAGAGACGAAAGCCGGGAGGUGGGAGGGACUGUUGUAAGGAAAAGCCCAUUGGAGUAAACUGGGAGUUCUGAGUGUAGUGGCUUCUCAUUGGCUGGGCUGCGAUCUUCUGAUUGGCUGGGGUGCGAUCAUCUCAUUGGCUGGGCUGUUGCCAGGACAGAGUCUUCCUCUUGCUGAGGUAGUGAGGUGGGCUUCUUCCAGUUGGUUCUUUGAAGGACUCUGUGAGGUAUAGCUUGAAAGUUUACC